GGGAGAUCACCCCAUUUCACCUACUUCCGCAGCACUCUCAGAAAUGAUUUAUUAAAGCUCAGAGCUUUGGG
ensembl:misc_RNA